UGGGGUUUUGGCUCAAGUGGUAGAGCGCUUGCCUAACACACAUGAGGUACUGGGUUCGAUUCUCAGCACCACAU
rnacentral:tRNA from 1 species